rnacentral:rRNA from 1 species
UACAGAGGGUGCGAGCGUUAAUCGGAAUCACUGGGCGUAAAGGGUGCGUAGGCGGGUCUUUUAAGUCAGGGGUGAAAUCCUGGAGCUCAACUCCAGAACUGCCUUUGAUACUGAAGAUCUUGAGUUCGGGAGAGGUGAGUGGAACUGCGAGUGUAGAGGUGAAAUUCGUAGAUAUUCGCAAGAACACCAGUGGCGAAGGCGGCUCACUGGCCCGAGUACUGACGCUGAUGCACGAAAGCGUGGGGAGCAAACAGG